GCCGAAGGCAGAGGCUUUAACCCACUGAACCACCCAGGCACCCCCAAACCCUUGUCUUUAGCCCAUUCUUGGCUGACCGGGAGAGAAGCUUCUGAGUUUCUUUCCCUGCUGGGCCACCAUUUUCUUCUUCCUUGGUCUUCCCGGACAUCCCAGAUCAAACCAAGACCACUGCUCCCA